UAAUAAUAAUAAUAAUAAUAAUAUUCUUAUUCGCUCCUCAAAACUCAGUUAUUUUAAGAUGUAGCUCGAUCAUAACUCGCUGAAAAGACAUACCAAGCCCUAGCUUGGAGUGAACAACAGCACUGGCAAUUAAAUUACAAGCCCCUCCCUUUUUAUAUUUUACUGUUGUCAACGGAACAGGUAUGAGGUCUAACGAUAAUGAGGCUAUAUUAGUAUUUACUGAUGGAGUGUGGUUACGGAUUUCAUUUUAAGACCAUUUGCAAAGAGAUGACAGCGUUCAGUUCAGAAGAGAUAUUAACGUUACCCCUCCAUGAAAAAUACGGAAGAGUUUAAUUGAACGCUACCCGAAGCUGCUAUAACAGAACACGAUCCAAAGCUCAAAGACUCGUUGGAGGCCCCCGCCUCCGCAGAAGCCGCCGCCUCCAAGCCCCCCGCCUCGAACCCGUGCUCCCCGCCCAUCCCGUCCGCCUCCAUCUUGACCGUGUCGGGCAGGAAGCUGGAGUAGGCGUCGCCCUCCGCCAUCAGCAGCUUCAGCUUGGGGAUCCAGCUCUUCCGCACCACGCGCCGCGCGUUGGUGCACAUGUCCGCCGCGAUGGCGUUCAUCUCGCUCUCCUUGAAGCUCGUGGCGAAGUUCUGACAGUAGACUGCGAGGUGAAGAGCAAAGAACGAGAGAGAGAGAGAGAGCCAGAGAGAGAGACAGAGAGAGAGAGAGAGAGAGAGAGAGAGAGAGAGAGCCAGAGAGAGAGACAGAGAGAGAGAGAGAGAGAGAGAGAGAGACAGAGAGAGAGUCAACUGCACAAUCACCAGAAAACAAAGCAAGUUAUUGGGUAAGAGGCGCUAGCACUUGACUCGAGUUCAGGACCGUCUCUCUACGGUCUGUGCACUGUGUCUAAGCAGCUUGUGUGUGUGUGUGUACCCUACUCAGCCGUAUUCAGUGGGCUUAGCAUCCACACGUUAUUCUUGAAUGCCUUUUUCAAGGUAACAGCAGAGCUGCGUAAUGAUGCCGCCGCGCGUGCGUGUGUGCAUGUCUGCGCAGGCCUGCGCGUGCCCACGCGCGUUUCCAUGGCGUGCUUCGGUGCAGCGCUGACGCGCGCGGCGUUCGGGAGGCCCACUCACACUUGACUGCGUGCAGCACUCUGCUGUCCAGCGGCUUGCGGCUCGGGUCAUUGGUGGAGGAGCGGAUCCCUGUGCCGCAGCUGUUGGCCAGAGUGUUCCUGUGGGACGGACAGCAGGCAGCCAUUCAUUGUGAGCACAGGCGAGACGCUGAGCGCAGAGUUAUCGAGGGCAAACACUUUCCCAGGGGAUGCGGAACGCAGAG